AUGCGGGACUCACCAGAGGCCUCGCAAUUGGAAUGAGCGCACUUUAAAUCGUUCGACUAGGAUCUAUUGGAGGGCAAGUCUGGUGCCAGCCGCCGCGGUAAUUCCAGCUCCAAUAGCGUAUAUUAAAGUUGUUGCAGUUAAAAAGCUCGUAGUUGGAUCUGGGGUUCGGGUCGGCGGUUUGCCGCUUCGGCGGCUACUGCCGUGCUCGACUCUUACUAGCCGGUGCGUCUUGCGGUGCUCUUCAUCGAGUGCCGUAGGAGCCUGGCAUGUUUACUUUGAAAAAAUUAGAGUGCUCAAAGCAGGCGAUUCCGCCUGAAUAGUGUUGCAUGGAAUAAUGGAAUAGGACCUCGGUUCUAUUUUGUUGGUUUUCGGAACUUGAGGUAAUGAUUAAGAGGGACGGUCGGGGGCAUUCGUAUUUCGGUGUUAGAGGUGAAAUUCUUGGAUCGCUGAAAGACGGACAAAUGCGAAAGCAUCUGCCAAGAACGUCUCCAUUAAUCAAGAACGAAAGUCAGAGGUUCGAAGACGAUCAGACACCGUCCUAGUUCUGACCAUAAACGAUGCCAACUAGCGAUCCGCAGUGGUUGCUAUAAACGGACUCUGCGAGCAGCUUCCGGGAAACCAAAGUGUUUGGGUUCCGGGGGAAGUAUGGUUGCAAAGCUGAAACUUAAAGGAAUUGACGGAAGGGCACCACCAGGAGUGGAGCCUGCGGCUUAAUUUGACCCAACACGGGGAAACUCACCCGGUCCGGACACUGUAAGGAUUGACAGAUCGAGAGCUCUUUCUUGAUUCGGUGGAUGGUGGUGCAUGGCCGUUCUUAGUUGGUGGAGUGAUUUGUCUGGUUAAUUCCGAUAACGAACGAGACUCUAGCCUGCUAACUAGUUGCGCCGUGUUCAUACGCGGCUGUAGACUUCUUAGAGGGACAGGUGGCGUUUAGCCACACGAAAUUGAGCAAUAACAGGUCUGUGAUGCCCUUAGAUGUCCGGGGCCGCACGCGCGCUACACUGAAGGAGUCAGCGUGUGCUAUCCGGGCUCGGAAGAGUUCGGUAACCCGUUGAAACUCCUUCGUGCUUGGGAUUGUGGCUUGUAAUUAUCGCGCAUGAACGAGGAAUUCCCAGUAAGUGCAAGUCAUCAGCUUGCGCUGACUACGUCCCUGCCCUUUGUACACACCGCCCGUCGCUACUACCGAUUGAAUGGUUUAGCAAGGUACUCGGAUUGGUCUCGAUCUUGUACGAAAGUGCGGGAUCUGUGGCCGAGAAGAAGGCCAAACUUGAUCAUUUAGAGGAAGUAAA
rnacentral:rRNA from 1 species